CUAGCUGUGAGGUUGGGGUGACAGGUUCUCCUGGCAGAGCGACAUCUGGGCUUCUGGGAGUUUUCUGUGUCAACCAACUGCUGGAGAAGUGUCCAUAGUAGCUGGCCUGUAGUGCCUGAGAGCUCCAGAGGCAGCCACAAACAUAUUUUGAAGGAUAGGGAUGUGGUGAGGAAGGGCUGUGGUGUUGAGGGACAGCUGUAGAGCCACCAGCCACCUUUCCUCAUCUAGACCUGGUACAGAAACCUGAGAUGGCUUUCCCUAAGGGCCUUGAAAAGCCACAGCCUGAUGGUACCCAGUCAGGCAGUGUCAGCCAGGCUUUAGCUGCAGAACAACUCACCUCAACAUCCAUCCCCAUCCCUCUGAUCACAGGCUCAGCUGUGAGCAUCCAAACCCCUGUGACCAUGGCACGAGGGUAAGAGGUCCCUGCAUGGUGACUGAGGGUCAGAUUGGGUUUUCCUGAGCAGUUGACUGCACCACAAACUGACUAUGAAUUCACUGGGUUCUCUGAGCCACAGUAAGUUGUCCAGCUUGCCUUGGGCCAUCUCUGAGGAUCCUUGUGUUCACCCAACACCAGUGCUGGGUGGUACCAAGCCUGCCUCUGUGUUUCUCAGCCUGCCAGACUGCAUCUUGCCACACCUCAGGCCAGCAAGGUCUGUCCCCGAGGCUGUAUUUGGUCCCCUGGGAUUUCAGCCUUGCUGCGGCUUUAUUAAAGAGUGAGGAGGCAGGUGGAACAUGCUCCUUGUUGCACUGGGGCCUGCUGAGCACCUCAGCAAUUCCAGCUCUGUUGGCAGGGUUAGCGGUCCACAUGGCAUCCCAGUACCAGCAUUGAGGCUGGCAAGACCUGUUUAGGCCAGUCAGGACAUCCCAGACCUCAAGGACACUACUCAGGACAAGCCAGACACCAGAUGCAGACUGCAAUCCUCGGGCACAGAAAAAAAGUGGCGUGGGUGCUCGAAGCUGGGAGAGGAUGUGUGGAAUGUGGACAUAGCUUUGUUGCGCUGAGACUGAUAGGAUCCUCAGCAGGUGGAUGGUGGACAUGACCACCCAAACUUGAGAAUGAGCUUCCUGCCUCCAAGCUUUGUCCUGAAAAAGUUAAGGUGGUAAACUUCAUGCUUGGGGUAGUGUUGAAGGAGCCCACCCUCCACGUAGGCCAGCUGGCCUCAGACUUGCAACCCUGCCCUCCUACAUGUGCCGCUGUCCUGCCUACUGGAGGACUGUUUACUGCCCAAAGGCCUAUGGUGCCUCGCAUACAGCAAGUGCUUAAUAAAUGCUGAGAAGCAGAAGUGCUGGGCUGACCAGUUCCUGCCUCCUGUAAGCCCUACCUGUCCCUGCCCCAUCCCUGUCGCCUGCCCCUCAGGUGCAGGGUUACAGUGGGGUAUCAUGAAACGGAGGGGAUAUUUUGCUAGUGUACCUUGUAGUCUACUUUUAAGACAUCUGGUCACUGGGUGUCAUGGCAUACAUGCAAGUUCAAGGCCAGCCUGGAUUACAUUACCAAGUUCUAGGACAAAAGAAACAUCUCACUGUGGCUAGUGACAGGUGUGUCGCAGUCCUUGAGGACACCAUAAUUAGUUAACACUGAAGUCAUUCAGGAUGGUUACCCCCCAGGCAGCAACUCACAUAACCCAGUCCCUGUCCCUUCAGACUGACCGGGUCCCCUGGCCACAUACUAAUGUCACCUGGUUCGGAACAAGUAUUCAGGGACCUGCCCUCUUGAGCUUGCUGCACACGAUUGAUCCUGGUCUCAGCUCCUUCAUGCCUACACCUUUCCAGGCAUCUGUUACUCUGCCCCUGACCACGCCCCCAGUCCCUCACUGGGGGAUUCUAGGCAGGGCUCCACACCUUAUCAUGGCUUCUGCCUCGGGUUAUUUUUGGGGAGUUGGAGGGGGCUCGCCACAGGGUUUCUCUGUGUAGUCCUGACUCCUAGAACUCACUCUAGACCAGGCUGGUCUCAAACUCAAAAGAUCCACCUGCCUCUGCCUCCUGAGUGCUGGGAUUAAAACUGCGCGCCACCACCGCCUGGCUGAAAUGUUUUUCAUCCAAUAUAUUUUGAUCAUGUCUUUCCCUGCCACCUGUUGAACUUUGUUCUUUUUUGUUCUUCAGUAACACAGGCACAGAGAAAAACCACAAAGUCAAAAAAUAAAACAUGCAAGUAAACAACCAAUAAGCCCAAAAACAAUUCUCAAGGAAAGCAAAAUAGACUGUUGGGUUCGUUUUAUGUUGGCCAGCUACUGGGCAUGGGGCCUGCCCUGGUGUGUGGUUAGUAAAUCAGCACAUUCAUUGAAGAAAGCUGCUUUUCCUUCUCUCACGGUAUCAGUUGGAGGUUUACAGCUUCUUUGGUAGGGUGGAAGCUCCAGUCUUUGUUUGUUUGUUUUUCGAGACAGGGUUUCUCUGUGGCUUUGGAGCCUGUCCUAGAACUACCUCUGUAGACCAGGCUGGUCUCGAACUCACAGAGACCCGCCUGCCUCUGCCUCCCGAGUGCUGGGAUUAAAGGCGUGUGCCACCAUCGCCCGGCGGGAGCUCCAGUCUUUCCCCUGUGUGUCAGUCCUGUUGUGUCUGGAAGACAGUUUUCAGGUAGACUUUCUGAGGUGUGGUGGAGACCUCCCAUUUAUGCUGCACUCCCGACCUCACUUUCUGCACCUUGUCCAGCUGUGGGUCUCUGUUCAUUCCUAUCCGCUGUGGGAGGGAGCUUCCCUGAUGGUCCGGUCCCUGACACCAUCAUCCAGGCAGCGAAGGCAGGUCCAUGGAUUCCAGAACACCCUAUCCAACAAACUGGCUCCUAGCUCCUUGCUCAAGCAGGUGUUGUUGGGCUGUGAGUUCCAGCUGUCAUCUAUAAUGUCAUGUUAGCAAGGCCCUUGUCUCCAGCCUCCCACAUGCCAAAGCCACCAAAGGUGUCUCAAGCCUUCUAGACCCGUCCCACCCUCCCCAUGGGGACUGAGAAGCCAGCAGGAGCCCGUGGAAUGGCUCUCCCAGGAGGCACUGGUCUUUCUGCAGGCGUGACCAAGUAUUGAGAGUGGCUUUCAGUGUCUACUUCCUGUUCCUGGGGUCACCAGAGUGACCAUGAGCUGGGGUUCCCACAUGUUCCUCGCUGUUCUGUCAUUCACUUCCAAAUGCUUCUUGUGACACAUCUGCCACUUGGCUUCCUAGAGGUGACCAGCCGGAACAGUCUUCCCAGAGAGGGAACAGCGUAUGCAGGCACCCUAGGCAGUACCCACAGCAGGCUUCAGCCCUGGAGGCGAGAGACUGAAGGAUGCUACCUUUUGUGAUGCUACCUUGCAUGUCUUUAAUCCCAGCACUCCAGAGGCAGAAGCAAGCAGAUCUUGAGGCCAGCCUAGUCUACAGAGUGAGUUCCAGGACAGGCUCCAAAGAGAAACGCUGUCUCGGAAAAAUAAAAAUAAUAAAAUUUAAAAAGCCAGGCAGUGGUAACGCAAGGCGCACGCCUUUAAUCCUAGCGCUCUGGAGGUAGAGGCAGGCAGAUCGCUGAGAGUUCGAGGUCAGGAAAAGAAAAGAAAAAGAAAAAAGAGAAAAGAAAAAGGUAGAAGGGAGAGACAGGCACAGGCCUGUUGAGGGGGCGGGGCUCGUUUUCAGACCUACCACUUCUUCCCCGCAUGGCCACAAGGUGACGCCUAAGAGCCACGCUGUGCCAAGGAGUCCCCACUGCCUGAGAUCCUGGGACCUUGGUGGUGGCUAGUGUGGAUCCUCCCCUGUACCCAAAGUCUCUGGAGGCCCCGAGAUCCAGCGAGAUUUGGCCUGAGCCAGACUCAGAAUCCAGAGUUGCUCUCCAUCCUUGGCUACAUCACAAGCCUGGGCUACAUGAAGCCCCCCCAAAUAACUAUAAUAACAAAUGAGGGGAGGCAUUGGGCAGGCUCAGUGAGGAAAAGUACUUAACAACCAAGCCUGACAACGGGAAUUCCAUCCCACAAGGUGUCCUCUGCCUUUCGUGUGCAAGCACACACACAGACACACAAGUAAUUUUUUUUUAAUUAGGAAAAAGCUGCAGACCCUCUUCCCCAUGGCCCUGGCCCUCGCUGUAACCAGUGGGUCCCCAUCAGUGGGUCCCCAUGAGUGACACUCAAGAGCUCAGCAUAUGGGUGAUAGGUGGGGAUGUGGGGACCUGGUCACCCACUCACCGACUGCCCCCGCUAGAGCUCAGUUUUCCCGUGUGCUGUGGGUUGAAUGUGAAUGACUCAGGUGCACUAUGCCCUGGUCUGACUGUCCACACAGGGACCACACAGCUGUCUGAGCCAGGAUCCUCAGCCCAGUGACUGAUUCUGCUUCCUGCAGUCACACAGCAAAGUAGACCAGUGUGGGUGGGAUCUGUGGUUUGUAUUGAAAGAGCCCCCAACCUCCACUGCCUAGAAUCCUCCAGUGACGGGCUGAGGGCGUGGUCAUGGUGGAGCUCCGCCUAGAAUCCCCAGUGAGGGGCUUGAGGCGUGGCCAGGGUGGAGCCCCGCCUAGAAUCCUCCAGUUAAGGUUGUCAUUUCCCUAAUGUAUGCCCAGCCUUGGAUUCCAUUCCAAGUUGUUUUUGUUUUUUGAUUUUUUUAGAUUUAUUUAUUAUUAUGUAUACAGCAUUCUGCCUCGAUGUGUGCCUGCACGCCAGAGGAGGGCGCCAGAUCUCAGUACAAAUGGUUGUGAGCCACCAGGUGGUUGCUGGGAAUUGAACUCAGGACUUCUGGAAGAGCGGCCAGUGCUCUUAACCUCUGAGCCAUCUCUCCAGCCCUUGUUUUUUGAUUUUUUUUUUUUUUUGAGACAGGGUUUCUCUGUAGCUUUGGAGCCUGUCCUGGAACUAGCUCUCUUAGAUCAAGCUGGCCUCGAACUCACAGAGAUCUGCCUGUCUCUGCUCCCCGCCUCCCCUCCAGUGUUGGAAUUUAAAGCCCAUUACAAGCUUUUUGUGGUUUGAGUUUUCGUUGUUUGUUUGGUUUCAAGACAGGGUUUUGCCCUGUUUCCAUCACACCUGUGCUCCAUCAAACCCACAGGGACCCAUUGAUUACAGUGAGGGCCAGGGCCAUGGGGGCUGCAGCGGGUGGAGGCCACCUGAGCUGAGACGGUUGUCUGUGCUUUGACUCUUUGGAGGGAUCGUGGCUUUGUGUUGUGGCCCAGGCAGCGGCAGCAAACUCGGAUAAUCCCUGAAGAGCUGGAGGCUCAGGCCACAGCGUGGAACCAGCCAGCUCUCAUCUUGGCAGACAUUUGAAUUUGCUUUUCAAGAAGUCACUUUAACAGUUCCCCUUUUCCUACUGUACAGUGCAGUGUUGGUUCUUGAUUCACAGGUACUUCCGUGUAGCCUUCACUAUCCUGGAACUUGCUCUGUCAACCAGGCUCGAACUCACAGAGAUCUACCUGCCUCUGCCUCCGAGGGCUGGGAUUAAAGUUAUGCGCCACCACAGCCCGGCCUCCAUUCCAAAUUUUACAUCAAAGAUGUGCCCUUUUCAUAAACAUUCUAUGCCUUCUGUUCAUUUCUUUAAUCUACUAUUGGUUCUUGUUGAUUUACAGAAACUUUAUAUACUGUGAAGUCAGGCUUUAGGUGUCGACUGUCAUGGGUUUUCGUCAGCUUCGUCCCUGUUCCCCUGUGUGAAGUGUUUGGGUGUAGGUGUUGUCAGCUAUUAAUCUCGUAAUUAGAGCCUCUUGGAUUUAAUGUCACCCAACACAGCACACUGAGAUGUAUGAUUUUCCUGUGUAUUUUCCUUGUUGGGGGGGGGGUGUCAAGAUCCCACUCUAUAGACCAGGCUAGCCCUGUUCUCUCAGGGAUUCCCCCUACCUUUGAAGUACACAAAAAUGUCACUGGUGCUGAAUUUUUAGAAUUGUUUUUCUCCGUGGAAUCAAAUUUAACACCUUCUAGAGUGUUCUCUCGGCAGAGCCAUUCCUGGGUGAGUGUGCGUCAGGAGACUUGUGACAACAUCUUUUUUUUUUUUUUUUUUGUGACAACAUCAUCUUACAAGGCGCCGGUGGACAGAGACACUGAGAGGCUCAGGGAGAGACAAGGUUGCCCAUGACAACGCCGAGUCUGUGUCAGAGGGAAAACUGCUCCAUCCUGUGGGGCAGGCAAGGAAGACACAUGUUGCAUUCUGGCCUCGCUCCCUCCACUCCAGCAACAGGGCCAACUCCCAGCUUCUCCAACACACCAGGGUCUCUCCUGCUCUGUGGUCUCUGCCCCAGGGCCUUAGCAUCUGUGCAAAGACAGGAAAGGUUGCCGUGGAGGCCCGGGCAGAGCCAACAAACCUCACCAGCCCUCCUCCCUCCCCUCCCCGCCCCCGUGGGCUGCUCCUGCAGCAGGGCGUGCCUGGGAAGGGGUGGAGGGGCGGGGGCGGGUGGCCUAGCCGGUCAGGCAGGAGCUGGCCUGCGGAGUCUCAGGCUGGCGGCGGCCAUGGAGGGGCUGCGUCGCGGGCUGUCGCGCUGGAAGCGCUACCACAUCAAGGUGCACUUGGCCGACGAGGCGUUGCUGCUGCCACUGACCGUGCGGCCCCGCGACACGCUGAGCGACCUGCGCGCGCAGCUGGUGGGCCAGGGCGUGAGCUCGUGGCGCAGAACCUUCUACUACAACGCUAGGCCUCUGCCAGACCACCAGACGGUGCGCGAGGCGCGCCUACAGGACGGCUCGGUCCUGCUGCUGCUCAGCGACCCCAGGUAACUGGGUCUGGAGGAGUUGGAGCCAUGAUUUUUGGAAUGCAAGCUGGCUGAAGGAGCAAAUGGGCCGGGGGCGGCACACUUCUGUCUUCCUGGGAGCCCAGCCUUAUUCCAGAUUCAGGUGCUGGGCUCCCAGGUAGAUGUGACACCUGGGCCCAACUGAUGCCCACUGCCUCCCAGAUGCUUUCCAGUCCACCAGCAAGGAGUCUUACGGUUUCUCCAUGGCCUUGUGACCACUCCCUCCCCUGGGAGCCUCCACCACCUGAAUCUUCGACUGUGCCCUCAUCCAGGAAGCCCUCCAUCAACAGGCACAGUUCCUUCUUUGGUGACCCACAAGGCUCCAGCUCAGAACGGUUCUGGCUACAGGAGGAUCUGGUGGGGCCAUGACCAAGGAGACUCUGAUCUGAGGGGACUCGAUGAGCCUACGUAUGUGCAAAGUGAUCUGCCACGGACUGUGGAUGCUCUCCUCCGCAGCCCAGUAUUGGGGUGCUGUGCUGAGUCUUCGGGAGGCCCCCCAUGCUGUGGGCUGCAUGGUGGGCCCAGAAGGCAAUACAUCCUAAUUAAGAGUUGUACAGGCCUCAGGGUGCGGAGGUGGGGACUGAAUCUUGGCCUUGGGGAGCUGGGCUACUGAGCAUGCACAAGUGUGCCGGGGCCUCAGGGGUCUCCUUUGCUCGGCUGUGGGGGUAGCCGCAGUC